CGAACGCUGGCGGCAGGCCUAACACAUGCAAGUCGAGCGGUAGCACAGAGAGCUUGCUCUCGGGUGACGAGCGGCGGACGGGUGAGUAAUGUCUGGGAAACUGCCUGAUGGAGGGGGAUAACUACUGGAAACGGUAGCUAAUACCGCAUAAUGUCGCAAGACCAAAGUGGGGGACCUUCGGGCCUCAUGCCAUCAGAUGUGCCCAGAUGGGAUUAGCUAGUAGGUGGGGUAACGGCUCACCUAGGCGACGAUCCCUAGCUGGUCUGAGAGGAUGACCAGCCACACUGGAACUGAGACACGGUCCAGACUCCUACGGGAGGCAGCAGUGGGGAAUAUUGCACAAUGGGCGCAAGCCUGAUGCAGCCAUGCCGCGUGUGUGAAGAAGGCCUUCGGGUUGUAAAGCACUUUCAGCGGGGAGGAAGGCGAUAAGGUUAAUAACCUUGUCGAUUGACGUUACCCGCAGAAGAAGCACCGGCUAACUCCGUGCCAGCAGCCGCGGUAAUACGGAGGGUGCAAGCGUUAAUCGGAAUUACUGGGCGUAAAGCGCACGCAGGCGGUCUGUCAAGUCGGAUGUGAAAUCCCCGGGCUUAACCUGGGAACUGCAUUCGAAACUGGCAGGCUAGAGUCUUGUAGAGGGGGGUAGAAUUCCAGGUGUAGCGGUGAAAUGCGUAGAGAUCUGGAGGAAUACCGGUGGCGAAGGCGGCCCCCUGGACAAAGACUGACGCUCAGGUGCGAAAGCGUGGGGAGCAAACAGGAUUAGAUACCCUGGUAGUCCACGCCGUAAACGAUGUCGAUUUGGAGGUUGUGCCCUUGAGGCGUGGCUUCCGGAGCUAACGCGUUAAAUCGACCGCCUGGGGAGUACGGCCGCAAGGUUAAAACUCAAAUGAAUUGACGGGGGCCCGCACAAGCGGUGGAGCAUGUGGUUUAAUUCGAUGCAACGCGAAGAACCUUACCUGGUCUUGACAUCCACAGAACUUUCCAGAGAUGGAUUGGUGCCUUCGGGAACUGUGAGACAGGUGCUGCAUGGCUGUCGUCAGCUCGUGUUGUGAAAUGUUGGGUUAAGUCCCGCAACGAGCGCAACCCUUAUCCUUUGUUGCCAGCGGUUCGGCCGGGAACUCAAAGGAGACUGCCAGUGAUAAACUGGAGGAAGGUGGGGAUGACGUCAAGUCAUCAUGGCCCUUACGACCAGGGCUACACACGUGCUACAAUGGCAUAUACAAAGAGAAGCGACCUCGCGAGAGCAAGCGGACCUCAUAAAGUAUGUCGUAGUCCGGAUUGGAGUCUGCAACUCGACUCCAUGAAGUCGGAAUCGCUAGUAAUCGUAGAUCAGAAUGCUACGGUGAAUACGUUCCCGGGCCUUGUACACACCGCCCGUCACACCAUGGGAGUGGGUUGCAAAAGAAGUAGGUAGCUUAACCUUCGGGAGGGCGCUUACCACUUUGUGAUUCAUGACUGGGGUG
rnacentral:rRNA from 1 species